UACGAAGGGGGCUAGCGUUGCUCGGAUUGACUGGGCGUAAAGGGCGCGUAGGCGGUUUGCAUAGUCAGACGUGAAAUUCCUGGGCUUAACCUGGGGGCUGCGUUUGAUACAUGCAGGCUUGAGUUCGGGAGAGGGAUGCGGAAUUCCAGGUGUAGCGGUGAAAUGCGUAGAUAUCUGGAGGAACACCGGUGGCGAAGGCGGCAUCCUGGACCAACACUGACACUGAGGAGCGAAAGCCAGGGGAGCAAACGGG
rnacentral:rRNA from 1 species